AGGAAACAAAGCCUCCUAUAGUUUUGAAUUAUAAAGUAAUUUUGCCGGGGGAGAAUUUGACAAAGGAUCCCCUUAUCACCCAAAAUUCAUGGACUAAUGAAUCCGGGUGGGGUAAGGUGGAAAAGUGCCCCGAUCAUGGCUCUACCGACAUGAUAAAAGUUGAUGGAUUAGUCAAAUGCAAUGCCAAAAUUUUCCGAUAUAAUAUAGAAGAAACUGCAAAUAUGACCAAUACCAGCCAUCCAAAGUCUUCAGAUGUAUCAAAUUCUAGUGCCUACGGUACUGCCAAUUACCCUUUUCUUGAAGGUAAUCCAUUUACUGCAACACUAUGGGCUGGUAUAGAGGGGUUCCAUAUGACAGUAAACGGAAGACACGAGACGUCUUUUGCAUAUAGAGAGAAACUCGAACCUUGGUUGGUUAGUGGAGUCAAUGUGAUAGGUGGUGUGGACACCAUAUCGAUCUUAGCGAAAGGAUUACCUGUUUCCAAUGAUUUUAACUUGGGUUAUGAUGUUGAGCAACUCAAAGCUCCAUUAACUCCUAAAAAGAGACUUGUCAUGUUAAUUGGAGUUUUCUCUACUGGAAACAAUUUUGAGAGACGUAUGGCGCUAAGGAAAU
rnacentral:misc_RNA from 1 species